UGGUGUAGUUGGAGUGUGUUUGGCAUGUCGAGGGAUCUCCCCCAUACUUGUUUUCUGCUUUCUUGCACAAAAAUAAAGUAGAGACACACAAGACAUAAUAAUAAUAAUACUCUUUAUUGAUCUUGAGGCAUUUAUUACAAAAGACUGAUAGCAAACUGAUAGCAGACUAAUAAUAGCAAACUGAUAAUAGCAAACUUAAACCGAAUUUAAAGAUAGAUAACUAAGAUGCAUUGCCUCAAGGUCUAAUCUAGAUAACUUAGUGGCGCU
rnacentral:lncRNA from 1 species